rnacentral:rRNA from 1 species
UACGAAGGGUGCAAGCGUUACUCGGAAUUACUGGGCGUAAAGCGUGCGUAGGUGGUUUGUUAAGUCUGCUGUGAAAGCCCCGGGCUCAACCUGGGAAUGGCAGUGGAUACUGGCAAGCUAGAGUGCGGUAGAGGGUAGUGGAAUUCCCGGUGUAGCGGUGAAAUUCGUAGAUAUCGGGAAGAACACCGGUGGCGAAGGCGGCGACCUGGUCCGAUACUGACGCUGAGGCGCGAAAGCGUGGGGAGCAAACAGG